UAUAUAUAUAUAUAAAUAUAUAUAUAUAUAUAUAUAUAUAUAUAUAUAUAUUAAUUGGGGUAGCCCCCAAAAUAUUGGGACAUAUAAAAAAGACAACUCUGUUGAACCGCGGGCAAAUCGCACAUCCCCGUGGCUGUGACUUUGCAUGCGGAUGUCAUCCAUAUCAACUUUCGAUGCCAGUUUCUGCACCUACCAUGGUGACCACGGGUAACAGGAAAUCAGGGUUCGAUUCCGGAGAGGGAGCCUGAGAAAUGGCUACCACAUGCAAGGAAGGCAGCAGGCGCGCAAAUGACCCACUCACGACGCGGGAAGGUAGUGACGACAAAUAACAAUACAGGACCUUUUAGAGGCCCUGUAAUUGUAAUUAGUCCACUUGAAAUCCUUUAACUCUGAUGAAAUGGAGGGCAAAUCUGGUGCAGAGCGACUGACCCAUGCGUGCCGCAGCUGAAACUCCACUA